GUAGGUGGCAAGCGUUGUCCGGAAUUAUUGGGCGUAAAGCGCGCGCAGGCGGUUCUUUAAGUCUGACGUGAAAGCCCACGGCUCAACCGUGGAGGGUCAUUGGAAACUGGAGAACUUGAGUACAGAAGAGGAAAGCGGAAUUCCACGUGUAGCGGUGAAAUGCGUAGAGAUGUGGAGGAACACCAGUGGCGAAGGCGGCUUUCUGGUCUGUAACUGACGCUGAGGCGCGAAAGCGUGGGGAGCAAACAGGGAUUAGAUACCCUGGUAGUCCACGCCGUAAACGAUGAGUGCUAAGUGUUAGGGGGGUUUCCGCCCCCUUAGUGCUGCAGCUAACGCAUUAAGCACUCCGCCUGGGGAGUACGGCCGCAAGGCUG
rnacentral:rRNA from 1 species